CUGUAAACCUACAGCAGAGGAGAGGGGACACGGCGGAGAUGGGAGGAGAAAACAGCAGAGAGCUGGCUUCUGCUUCGGUUCGGGCUUGGAGGGGAAUUAACCCUUAGACCUGCUCACAGGGGACACAGCCAGACACGGCAUCUUAAACCCCGAGCUCGGAGCAGGAAUUAGUGCCCAAGACCCCGUGGUCAGAGUCAUGCAGAAAAUCAAAUUAAACGAUCGUCGCUGUUGUUAUGGCAA